rnacentral:rRNA from 1 species
AUCAACUUUCGAUGGUAGGAUAGAGGCCUACCACGGUGGUAACGGGUAACGGGGUGUUAGGGCACGACACCGGAGAGGGAGCCUGAGAAACGGCUACCACAUCCAAGGAUGGCAGCAGGCGCGCAAAUUACCCAAUCCCGACACGGGGAGGUAGUGACAAUAAAUAACAAUACGGGGUUCUUUCGGAUUUCGUAAUUGGAAUGAGUACAAUUUAAAUCUCUUAACGAGGAACAAUUGGAGGGCAAGUCUGGUGCCAGCAGCCGCGGUAAUUCCAGCUCCAAUAGCGUAUAUUAAAGUUGUUGCAGUUAAAAAGCUCGUAGUUGAAUUUCGGGGUCAGUAGAUUGGUCGUGCCACUGGUAUGUACUGGUCUUACUGGCUCCUCCUUCCUGAUGAACCGUAAUGCCAUUAAUUUGGUGUUGCGGGGAGACUGGACUGUUACUUUGAAAAAAUUAGAGUGUUUAAAGCAGGCUAACGCUUGAAUACAUUAGCAUGGAAUAAUGAAAUAGGACGUUCGAUCUUAUUUUGUUGGUUUCUAAGAUUGACGUAAUGAUUAAUAGGGAUAGUUGGGGGCAUUAGUAUUCAAUUGUCAGAGGUGAAAUUCUUGGAUUUAUUGAAGACUAACUACUGCGAAAGCAUUUGCCAAGGAUGUUUUCAUUAAUCAAGAACGAAAGUUAGGGGAUCGAAGACGAUCAGAUACCGUCGUAGUCUUAACCAUAAACUAUGCCGACUAGGGAUCGGAUGAUGUUAAUUUUUUAAUGACUCAUUCGGCGCCUUACGGGAAACCAAAGUGUUUGGGUUC